rnacentral:rRNA from 1 species
GUGGGGAAUCUUGCGCAAUGGGCGAAAGCCUGACGCAGCCAUGCCGCGUGAAUGAUGAAGGUCUUAGGAUUGUAAAAUUCUUUCACCGGGGACGAUAAUGACGGUACCCGGAGAAGAAGCUCCGGCUAACUUCGUGCCAGCAGCCGCGGUAAUACGAAGGGGGCUAGCGUUGCUCGGAAUUAUUGGGCGUAAAGCGCGCGCAGGUGGGAUCUUAAGUCCAUUUUUAAAGUUCGGAGCUCAACUCCGUGAUGGGAUGGAAACUGGGAUUCUUGAGUACCGGAGAGGAAAGCGGAAUUCCCCGUGUAGCGGUGAAAUGCGUAGAUAUGGGGAGGAACACCAGUGGCGAAGGCGGCUUUCUGGACGGUGUCUGACACUGAGGCGCGAAAGCCAGGGGAGCGAACGGGAUUAGAAACCCUGGUAGUCC